AUUGAACGCUGGCGGCAGGCCUAACACAUGCAAGUCGAACGAGUGGCGGACGGGUGAGUAAUGUCUGGGAAACUGCCUGAUGGAGGGGGAUAACUACUGGGAACGGUAGCUAAUACCGCAUACCAUCAGAUGUGGCCAGCUGGGAUUAGCGUGUUGGUGGGGUAACGGCUCACAAUGGCGACGAUCCCUAGCUGGUCUGCUAGGAUGACCGGCCACACUGGAACUGAGACACGGUCCAGACUCCACCGGAGGGCAGCAGGGGGGAAUAUUGGACAAUGGGCGCAAGCCUGAUGCAGCCAUGCCGCGGGUAUGAAGAAGGCCUUCGGGUUGUAAAGUACGUUCAGCGGGGAGGCGUUACCCGAAGAAGAAGCACCGGCUAACUCCGUGCCAGCAGCCGCGGUAAUUC
rnacentral:rRNA from 1 species